AUGAGGUCCUCAUGUCGCCGGUGCUAUGAAAUUAACGCGGCGGGCGGCUGGGGAGAGCGCAGGGGUUGCGCGCCGGCCAAUAAAGCGCUCCGUCUGCACCGCGCUUCUUCCUUUUUUAUGAUUCUUUGUUGUUGUUGUUAUUGUUGUUUGGUUGGGUUUUGGAUUUGGCGUGCGGAUAUGGCUGGGAUGGGGCGGCGGCACCCCGCGGGGCACCGGAGCCCAGGGACGAGGGACACCGGGGGGGGACCGGGAGGACGAGCCCCGCGCUGGGCAUGGCCGGGCCGGCGGCAGAGCUGUCACCGAAAGCUGCCGCCCGGCCGCGGGAUCCUGCCAGCCCCCCCUCCGCGGGGUGUGCGUGCGGCUCUGGCUGUGCAUUCACACGGGUGUGUGCGCGCCGGAUCGCCCCUCUCUCAUGGGGAAGGAGAGCAGACCCCGAGACGCCCCGACGGGGACCGUGCCCGGCCCCACACAUCCCCACACAUCCCCACACAGCCCACAUCCCUAUCCGCCGGGGCGGCUGCUGCGGCAGGGGCGGCCACAGCGGCUGCCGGAGGUCCGGCAGGGCGCGGAGGGGGAUACGAGGACCUCAGGUUUCCCUUCUCCCUUCCCUUCUUCUUUUCCUUCCCUUCUCCCUCUUUUCUUUUCUCCUUCUUUUCCCCUCUCCCUUCCCUUCCCUUCCCUUCCCUUCCCUUCCCUUCCCUUCCCUUCCCUUCCCUUCCCUUCCCUUCCCUUCCCUUCCCUUCCCUUCCCUUCCCUCCAGCCCAGCCCCAGACCCGCUCCCCUGCCUGCCCCAGGGCCAGCUGCACAGCCCUGACCCCUUGGUUAGGAAAUAGGGUGAGGUCCCUGGGUAUGGGCUCCAGAGCCAGGCUUGCGGGCACUAGCAGGGCUUUCUGGCUUUUACUUCAUCGGUGUGCAAGGUGCAGAUGCCCCAGGUCUGGUGGGGAUGUCGGGCUGAGGGCUGCAGAGGGGAUCACGGGUACCCCACUGGGUGAAAUGGGUGCGAGGUUCCUUCCCUGUGCCCUCUGCAGUCUGCAGUGA
rnacentral:lncRNA from 1 species